ACGGGUGAGUAACGCGUAGGUAACCUGCCUGGUAGCGGGGGAUAACUAUUGGAAACGAUAGCUAAUACCGCAUAAUAGCAGUUGUUGCAUGACAACUGUUUGAAAGGUGCAAAUGCAUCACUACCAGAUGGACCUGCGUUGUAUUAGCUAGUUGGUGGGGUAACGGCUCACCAAGGCGACGAUACAUAGCCGACCUGAGAGGAAGGUCCCCCACAUUGGAACUGAGACACGGUCCAAACUCCUACGGGAGGCAGCAGUGAGGAAUAUUGGUCAAUGGACGAGAGUCUGAACCAGCCAAGUAGCGUGCAGGAUGACGGCCCUAUGGGUUGUAAACUGCUUUUGUAUGGGGAUAAAGUCAAUCACGUGUGAUUGUUUGCAGGUACCAUACGAAUAAGGACCGGCUAAUUCCGUGCCAGCAGCCGCGGUAAUACGGAAGGUCCGGGCGUUAUCCGGAUUUAUUGGGUUUAAAGGGAGCGUAGGCGGACUGUUAAGUCAGCGGUUAAAGAGUGUGGCUCAACCAUACGAUGCCGUUGAAACUGGUGGUCUUGAGUGCACACAGGGAUGCUGGAACUCGUGGUGUAGCGGUGAAAUGCUUAGAUAUCACGAUGAACUCCAAUCGCGAAGGCAGGUGUCCGGGGUGUAACUGACGCUGAGGCUCGAAAGUGUGGGGAGCAAACAGGAUUAGAUACCCUGGGUAGUCCACGCCGUAAAC
rnacentral:rRNA from 1 species